UUUAUCCCUUGUCGUACAGCCAUUUGGUAUGUCAAUAGCCAUAUUGGAUUUUCCUGCCAUGCCCAGUCUCCAUUUACAAGGGCUGAGCCACUGGGAGGAUGUUGUCUGCAUGCGGGUUCCCUCUUCCAUCCAACAUGGGUUUGGGCUGUGAGGUAGGGGUAGGGCCCCAGAGGAAGACUUCAACCCACGGAGAGCUGGCAGCUGAGCCUUGUCCAUUGAGUUUGCAAUGAGAAGUGGCUUUUCCCCAGGCUGGUGACCAUCCCACAGCUGGGAUGGCUCAGCCCAAGAGGGCUCUGCUGUGGGGGCUGCGGCAUGGAGCAAUGGAGACCUGGUCUCUGCUCCACCAUCAAUGGGUUUUAUUGUCCUACCAGGUUUUGCUCCAGCACUUAAUUCAGCAGCUCCACUCAUUUUGAUGGGUACGUACAUAUAUACCUUGGCACCUGGCUGCCGGCACAGGCCAAAUGGCGCUGCACGACCCCAGCCAAAAAGCACAGGGCGAGGUAGGGAGGAUGCUGAAAAAUUCCUGCUUUGCUCGGGUGAAGUUCCUAGAAUCUGUGGGGAGGUACAGGGUGAGCGCUGGCACUGUGCAGCCCCUGCCUUGGCCAGGGGCUUGAGAAACUUCUCAGCUUGACUUCGAACCACUCCGUAAAAAUUCAGGACAAACGUUGGAGGUAAACUGCUAAAUCAGGUCUGAAAUCCCUUCCUCCGGAGUCAGAUUCCACUCCCAGAUGCGUACCCGGAACAUCUGGAGAGGGGUUGCUGAGGGCUGGGGGGGAUGUGGCACUGAUACACAGCAAAAUGCUGAGCACAUGGGAUGGGUUUGGUGCCUGCUUGGGAGAAACGUGGUCCAAAAAGAAACCAGCUUGGCGUUUGGUGAUAGCUGGGGCAAAAAGGACGGUAGAGAUACUACUUGUGGUGGGGAAACCUUUUCUGUGGUGCAAGCUGGUUUUGAUGGUUGUGUUCACAUAGCAGUGCUGGGCUUUGGGAUACCCAGGCGCCUUGGGGUCUAGGCUGGUACCCAAAACCAAGGCCAGCUGUAACAGGGCCAGCCUGGCCCCUCUGCUGCAUGCUGUGCCCUGACAGGUGAGAAUCACCUCUCAGAGACUGCCCAGAGCUGUGGGUGUCCCAUCCCUGGAGGUGCCCACGGCCAUGGAUGGGGCCCUGGGCAGCUUGAGCUGAUGGGGGGCACCCAGCCCAUGGUAGGGCUUGAAACUGGAUGAUCGUUAAGGUCCCUUCCAACCUUAACCAUUCUGUCAUUCUAUGAAAUCAUGUGAGAAAAGCAACUCUCUGGGGCUCAAACCCACUUUGAUGAAGGGUGCUCGGAAAUCCCAGGGAUCCUUAUCUCUUGAGAAAAUGGAACUGGUAGUGUUGCCUUGGCUCCACGUGAUGCAAUUUGGAAGGACCUACCGGCAGCUUCGAGACAGCAAGGAGGAGUUCCAGCUAUUGCAUUGCUCUGCAGGGAAGGAGCAGCUGGGCAAAGCAUUUUCUGCAGGUUUCUGCCUUCGAUUGUAAAAGAAAGUGGUUAGUCACUGCAGGUCUGCAAAAAAUUAAAUCUGUCAUAUUUCCUAGUCUGCCUGAAGCUCUAAAGUCACAAAUUAAUUUCACUUUGGCGUGGGUCGAGUUGUUGGCCCCCUGGGGCUCCCUUUGGCCAGGCUACUGAUGGGGACAGUAACCAAAGAUGACAGGGCUGCAUGCUGCAUUGCCAUUUACUUUACAGAGCUCCGCUUCCUUAAAAUUAGGUAGGAUUUAUGGUUUCUUCUUUGACAUGCCUGCCAAUAAGGGAAAGUACCUUUAGCCCUGCUUAACAAACAAUGAAAAUAUAUUGUUUUUUUUUUUUUAGUGAGAAGUUCCACUUUUUUAUGGUGUUUCUGUCCUACGCGUGCACUGAGGGUGGGGAGGGUCAGGCCAGGAAGGGAUGUGAGGAUCAUUCUGGAAAACCCGCAUCCUGCUGACCUGCUCUCUCUGCAUUCGAUGGAAUACUUAUAUUCCAAAGGUGGAUUCCUCACUGUUGAACAAAUAGGAACAAGGCAUAUUCUGAACGACCCUUUCCCAAAGUUUCCUUUCCCAAAGGUUCUCCAUCUUUACUUUGGUGACCUGAAUUUUCAGCUGGUGGCUCCCAUCCCAAAACGAGGGCUUUGUUGCCCAGAGUUUGGGCUGUUGGAUCUCAGCAUCCCACUUUGGAAAUGAACAUUUAUCCAAGCAUGGAACAGUAUUCACAUGCACUUUUUGGAAGCAGAUGGGCCAGUUUGGGGUCUGUUUUGCAGGAGCUGGUGCUGGCUUGUUGGGUGGGAUCAGGGAUGCUGCCAACUCUGGGGCUCUGGUGGACGAUUUUGUUCCCAAGGACAAUGCUGAGGGGUCUCCACGUGCCAUGUGCACUCCGUAUUUGGUGUGAGCAGGGAAAGUCUGCGGGAGGAGCGAGAGGAAUCCCUGGGCUGCAGGUGGGUGGGGGGGGGCUGAUGCCUCUGCUGAGGUUACCUCUUCCAAAGAUAAGAGCUUUGUCACCUUCUGCAGAGCUGGUUGUUGGAAAAUGGAAAAUGGAAGCACUCCUUACCACAUGCUACUGAAAAGUAGCUUUGUUUCUAAGCCUGAAAUACAUCCUGGUCUGGAAUGAUCUGUUUGUCCGUGUGAACCCAUUUUCAUUCCUUUAUUUCUACUUAAUGAGCAAUUUAAUUAAAAAGCAACUGUUCUAUCAAGGCUGGGGACACCUCUUGCUUGCAGCACAGAGUGUGCAUUGGCUCCAGCCCUGCAGCACUGGAGCUGAUGACAUUGCUGCUUCGUGCAUCUGCGCCUCAAGGGUAUUAGAAUGGAGAUGCUGAAGGUAGCCUGGGGACUGUGCUCUUAAGGCACUUCAGUCCUGGAAAAAAUGCUGUGUUUGGUGUUGGUGUGGAUGCUUUGGUAAAUAGAAACCUGCUCCUGGGAGCUGGUUUCUAUUUACUGAUUUGUGUCCGAGACGCGGCACUUUACAGCAGACAGCUGCUGAUGUGCUUUAGGGCAAUGCCUGCUGGCUCAGGCUUGGCAGCCCCUGGCAGGACAGAGCCUGAAGCAGCUGUUGGGCAGUGGCAGUGUCUGGGGAGGGCCAGGGAUGCUGUGGGCACAGCUUGGCUGCCCCAUGUCCCCGCUGUCUCUGAUUUUAGCACGUUAGCUCCUCCUUGCCAGACUUUGCCUGCUCCUUUUGUUGUAACUGUGCUCACGCGGAAACCUUCAAAGGCUCCCUCCUAUCAAUUUUCCCCGCCAUAUGUUCUCAUUAAGGAAUUUAUUGUGCACUUUAUCUUUGGAUUAUUUGCCAUCAAUUAAUAAAACAUGUUGCAAGCUUCAAAUGAACAUUCUCCCCUGCCCGCUUCCCUUUAACGAGGGAAGGAGAAAUAUGAAAAUAAAUCACCAUGACAGAUGGUGUUUUUUAACCUUCCUUUUGCCCAAUCUGGGGGAAAAGAAAUUCUUAGGAUAUUGACAUGGGUUUUUAAUUAUGAGUUACAUCAUUCAAAGAGCUGAUCCGGAGCUCACUGAGCUCACAGCCUGGAAGCUGUUCACGUUGUAACGUAUCGGGAUGCUGACACAGGGGACCGAGGGCUGCGGGGUGAUGGUGUUGGCACAACCAUUGCAAAACCCAUUUGGGGAAGCAAACGGUGCCACUGCUGCAGGGAAUGGCCCCCAAAUGUGUUUGUUGUCACGUUGUGUUGUGCUGGGCGGUGCUCUUGUAGGUGAUGCUAUGCUGUGAUGGUGGCUUUAGAAAGUGGCAGUAUUUGGGGUUAUUUAAUGAGUUCCCAAAGGAGGAGCACCUCCCUGCCGUGCCCCUCUGCAUGGAGAAUGGAACCCCCACAUUAGCCCCUGCCAGUCCUUCCAGCUCCAUUCCCACUUGGGGCAGUAGGAGCUGCUCCUGCCCUCCUCCUGUUUGCAUUUUGUGGCUGCUUCCUGGGCUGCUGGUAGGGAGAGGGGUGGGAGGAACAGCCAACAGCAGCUCCAAUCUCAGCAGCGCCCGCGGAUGCUGCGGGGACAGCCUGUACCCUGCGUAGCGCUGCCGUUGUGCCUACUGGGGAAAACAAACACAAAAAUAAUGCACACAGACGGGUUCCUUAUACAAAUAAAUGUCUGAGGGGAGCGACCUGGCUGCGGGCAACCUGCUGGGAAAGUCCUGCUCCGGUGGGAAUCGCGGCGUUACGCAGCGCCUGGAUGUGUCUGGGCUGUGAUUUAUGCCCCUGAUUGGAUGCGUGCCUGGGCAGUGUGUGUUGACACUCAGUGCUCAGCUCCAGGUAAAGUUUAAACAGGACUUAUCGUGGCUCUGACACCUUGGGAAGGCUUCCCUGCCCUGCCUCGUGCCAUCUCUUCUGUGGGUUUGUGCUGCUGCUGUCCUUGAUGUUAGAAGAGAAGAAAGGUUGUCUUGCAGAAUACAUUACUGAAAGAGCUUUCUCAAACACUCUUCUAAUUUUAAAACAACCCAUCACCAGUGGGUCCUGUGGCUGUUUCUUUGCUCGUUGGGCUUCACCCGAUGCUCCCAAUCUGGGCUCAAUACAGGGAGUGCUGUGAGUGCGGUUUGACCCCAAGUUCCCUGCAGGUCCCUGACUCUGUCUGUCCUGCUGGCCCUACCCCAGCUCCGGGCAGAGCUCCUCUCUCUUUUGACCCUUCUUCCCAGCAAAAAUAACCAUACAGUGUUUGUCAACCAGUUGGGUGUCCUUGGAUGGCACCCAGCGUUGCACACUCGCUCCCAGCUCACUCUAAACAACGUUGAACUCAUUCAGUUUUAUGCUUUGUUUUCUUAUGGGUAACAAUUAAGAACAAAAGCAGCGGAACAUAAUUACAGCACCUUGAAGUGUAGCGUUACUGGGCCAAAGGCUGAAAUGAGGUUACAACGUGACAGCCCUUUAUCUCGGAUCUGAUAGGUGUGUUAUUCAUUGUAUUAAAAGUUUGCCAAGAGAGGCUUCACUGAAAAUUAACCCGUGUUAUCGCAGUGAGUAAUAUCCUGGUUUUAUCAUGCGGAAUAAACAAACAGGGCAGACUUUAUGCUUUUGCUUAAUGAGGUUAACUCUGAGAGCAGAGCGGGGAAGCGGCGUUAGCUCUGAUGCGUGGCCACAGUGAUUGUGGUGAGAUGAAACUGGAACAGAAAGUGCCCCCAGAUUUCUUGCAUAACAGCAGAGCUUGUAUUACUAUUAAUUACGUUAUGCAACUGAGAUAGGAUGGAAGUUGGCUCUAUCUUACAACAGACCAGGGUGCAAAACUCUUUGCAGUCUUCUCUGUGGUUUCCCAGGAAAAUUCCACAUCCGUGUUGUCUCGAUUCUGCUUUUUGCCUUCUUUGCCCUAUGGGGACUGGGCAGUUCUCCAGCUUCAUGCCUCCCAGCCCAAGCAGCACACUUGGUUCAGCCUUUGCCAUUUGCUCCCUUUGCUGCUUUUCCCUCCUCGGUCCCAGCUGUCUGCUCUGCAAAAUCCUGCAAAUUCUGGCAAAAUUCAGGCAGAUUAAGUGAUGUGGAACAUUGGGAGCAGUGAUGGGGAAAAACACCAAAACUGGUACCUGAAGUCAGCUCUGUUACAGCGUGUGGUUCAUCUCACCUGAGCACACACAGUGAGUGCUGGAACGUGGAUGGGCACUCUCCCCAUGGGACUGACAUCAGUUCUGCAGGAGAGCAGUUGAACCCUACAGAAGGUUAUUGUGUUAUUGGCUCUGUUGCUCAUAUCCCAACCUGUGGUGCUGCUGCAGGCAGGGAUGGCUUUGGGAAUCAAUGGGCUUGAUUCAGUUGCUGGGAUUUUGAUUUGGCAGCGCGUGGAGAUGCAGAGCCCAACCCUGGACUUCAACAGCCGGGAGCCUGAAGUUGUUUCAUGUGAACAAAGGGAUUGUCCAGGUCAUUAAUCCCUUGCACCUGUUGCGCUUUGUUCCCAGCUCGCUCUGCCCUGUUGCGUCAGCAGUGGUGAUGCCAUGAGCCAACAGGGCUGGCAGUAGUGGUGGCAUUAACGGUGCCCUCACCCAGCAGGGCACCACACUGGGUGGGUUCAGCUCAGAGCUGGCGUGGGGCAGCCCAUGGUGCCGGGUGGUGCAGAGCAGGGCUCGGGGUGGCUGUGUCAGCAGGGACCCUCAUCCCAGCAUGGGGGGACCCAUCCUGGCCCCAUCUGCACCCUUCCCAAGAACUUUUUCCACCCCAUCCAAAAUUAUUGCACCAAAGAACUUUAAACCCCAAACCCAGCGCCCGUGCCUUCGUGCCAGCGGAUGCAAUAAUACCAGGAGUACAUUAUCCUCUGGGCUAUCAGCAGCUGUAAUACCUCCAGGGAUCUCUCGGGUAGCUUUAAUUAUGCUCGUGCCUUUCUUUCAGCCCUCGUUAUCUCUGAGUUCCUCCAAGCUGGGGGCAGGAGCACGGCACCGAUGUUGCUUCUCUGAAGCACCUUUGUUUUCCCUGCUCAGGUAUUAAGCUGAUGGCACAACAGUCACCGGGUGCUGCUUUUUCUUGCCUGCCCACCUCCCCCAGUGCAGACCUCAGGCACAGGGAGCAAGCAGGGCCAGCAGGAAUGCACAGACAGAGGCAGCUUGUUCCUGCAGGGAGCAGGGAAGGGAGAAGGAGUGAAAAGGAAAGCAGAGGGGGGAGAGGAGGAAGAGCUGGGUGAAAGAGGGAAGAAUCCAUCUGUGCACGGAGGGAUUUAUCUGGGGGUGUUUGUUAAAAGGAUGUAAUGCUUAGAAAAAUAAUAAAGAAUCCUCCCUCCCACACGUGCCCAUAGGAGGUUUUUGUCAGCGCAGUGCCCUGCAUGGGAAGGUGACAUUUGAGAGAACAAUUGGCAGGCUGUUAUGCCAUGCCUGCACUAUGAAUGGGGCUUAAGAAAAGGUGUCCUUGGACUCCCAUCAUCUCCUCCAUCCCCUUGCACGGGCCAGCAGCGUGCAAACAGAACAGUGUGGGAGACGAGAGGGGAGCACACUCCAAGCUCAUUGCCUUGCCGUGCAGCCAGCUCGGCCCACUGCUGCGAGGGGAUGCUGAGGAUGCUGCUGGAGAACGCACAGACAAGGAAGGACAGUGGGGAGGGGGCACCUCGGGGGCUUUCUGCAGCUUUGUCCUUUGGGCUGAGCCAGGUGUGAGCUGUGCUUUGGCCAUGCACCUGCUGCAGAUGUCGGAAUGGCUUUCUUUGCCCGAACACCUGGAUGUGUAGGUCUGGCCAGGAAACCUUCAAGUAGGAGCACUUUCCCUUCUAAGCAGACCCAGGAGAAAAUGCAGUGGGAGAGAAGAUCCACUCUUCUGAGGACAGAGUCCUUGGCCAACGUUGAGUGAAUCCUGCUGCAACAUAGGACAGUGGUCAUCAUUGUCAUUGUUAUACUGGCCUCCAAAACCCAGAGUCCUGCUCUAGAUGGUUCUGCUACUAACGAGGAUGAUGCAAGGAUGGAGAAAAUUGGGUGUUGGAUGGAACUGGUGACCACCAGGGCUUCACUUCUCAUCUCUGCUGACGCGCCCUAAAACCGGGCUCCCCUCCAGUGCGUUUGGAGCAGCAGUGCUGACAACGUUGUGCUGAACCCUCCAUCCACCACUGAGGAAAACACACAGCGGAGGAAAGUCAGGUUCCAGAUUGCUCAGCAGAAAGGAGAAACCAGCUUGGAAGCCCCUCUGGAAGAAGGCCAGGCAGUAAUCUCACGGCGUGUGGGUGAGAAUGGCAGCAUCUCCUUUGGUCUCUGACGGAGCUGCUUGCGCUCUGCAUCCAACCUCCUCCGUUUAUAGCCCUGAUUUCCAACCAGCUAAAUGAAAAUACUUGUGGGCAGCAAAAAUAGCCGGUGCUGAAAACCUGUGUCUACCGAGGGUGGAAAUUGCUGGGAGUUCCUCCGUGUCCACAGCUGAUCAUUAGGAGAGGUGGCAUAAAUCCGGCGGUUGCGCGGUGUGCCGCGGGCGGGCUCCCUGCUGUGACCCAGGGCUGAGCGCCCACCGCAGCCCAUGGGAUCUGAGGAUGCUGCUGAGGAAUUGGCUUUUUGGGGGGAAGGAGGAAAAAGCAGCAUGCAUUUUUCCUUUGCAUCAGCACAAUAUGCAAUGGGGUGGAGUUCGCCAUCAUGAGGGUUACACUCGUUUCUGCUCCCUCUGUGGGAUAGGGGAUGUGGUGCUGGGAUGAGAGUGGAGUUGCGUGGAGCUGCUGGGGUUGCACCCAUCUAUGGUGGUGUGUUCAUACUGCAGAAUUUAUUGCCGUAUGUAUGCAAAUGUGCCAUGCAAACAUAUGCAAAUCCUGAUCCUUUAUCAGCUGGCAAGAUAUGGUUAAGCACUAUAACGUGGAAGCCCAGCAGCCAGCAGAGGAGCGCUGCAGGGCAGUGCCGGGGCUCAGCUGCCAGCAGCACAGGGUGGGAAUGCUGCACGUUGCCCUUGUGUUACAGCAGCAGCAAGAAGUGCUUUGCUUCAUCGUUUAGUACAUGCAGUCAUGCAAUGAGGCGAUGCCACCACUGGUGCUUUGGUUGACUCUCCUUGCAGCUCCAGGUGUGUGGGGGGGUGCACUGGCCAUCAGCUCAUAUUGCUCCUGUACUGACUCAUUUAUCUUUUGGUGCUCAUUUUCCAGCACCACGUGGAAAUGCUUGAGCAGCCACUCCAACCUUUCGGCUGCAAUAACGAGCCUCACAUGGCAUCUGAUUGGCAACAUGUGGUCUAGGUAAUUGCUUUGCUUCAGCUGCUUGUUAGGCCCUGAUCUCCAUCUAAUUUCAAGGUGAAACCAAUGGGAUUUUGCUGAGGUUCCUCUUAUUCAGUGUGGAUCUCACAGCUAAGCAUGUUGCUGGUGGUAGGGAGGGCUCAGAGCUGAACUGACUCUUUCUGGUUCAACCCCAGUGCUGCAGGGAAUGGAGGUGUAACGUUCUGCUACAUGUAGGCUCUGCUGGUGCAUCUCUGGUCUCAGUUGGAAGCAGGUGAGUCAAUGCGCACCUUGAGACUAUGUUUUGUGUCCUUGUUGUAUGCUCCUUGGUUGCAGAUUAGCCAUUUGUAGGUGCAGAUGGCUGAAGCUUUCCAGGUCAGCUUUGUAUUUGGUUUUCCUCUGCCCUAAUUGAGAGCAGAAAUCCAAUUAGACGAUCAUGCUGUCCUCAUUGAAGUCCCUGGCUAGAGAAUCACAUUGUGUGGGAUGGUGGAUGUUGUGCUGGUGAUGGGACCAACCGGCAGCAGUGAGAUUCUGCCCAGCUGUAGAUUAUGAGACACAAUUCUAAAGCCCUUCUAUUGUAACCCAUGUCAGUGUGCUGUGCCUUGCUGUUCCUAUUAGAGACAGCAGAUGUUCAAACAAGGGCUGCAGCACGUGCAGCCUCCUUGCCUGUUAGGUAGGACUCGUGCUGGAAGGAUGGCUGCUGUCUGAAGGGGCUCCUGUUGGUUUGUACAGAUGCCAUGGGUGAGGGGGAGGAGAGACAGAUUUGAGCAGUUCCCCAGCAGCAGCCCCUUUGGAAGUGGUGUUUUCUUGGUUCAGAGACCUCAGGGCCAGUGAUGAGCAACCCUUGCUUAAGGUGCUGAGAUUUGCUGCAUCUCUUUUCUCUUCUUCUGUCUGGCUGUAGCAAAACAGGAAAUGGCACAAAAUUAGCUCGGCAUCUGAGCCUUCCAAAAGCCACAGCAUGGCAAUUGUAGGCACCACUUGUUGCUUUUUUCCUACCCUACAGCUGCCAAGCGGUAGGGCAGCAGUUUGAUUUGGUGUCUCAGCCUGCUUGCUGUGGGAGAAAGCAAGAAGGGGAAAAAAAACAAGGAAAGAGGUUUUAAGCUCAGGGCCUCCCACUGCAUUGUUUUUAUCCUUUUCCCAUCCUGGAAAAAGAAUCAGAAAUAGCUCAAAACCUUUUUUUUUUUUUUUCUUUUCCUGCACAAUUUAAUUAAGGCUGAAAAAAUGAUGGAAACUGCACUGUCCAGCUUUCAAUGCUUUUUCACCUCACUGGGCAGGACAGGCAUGUUAAGUUUGUGAGUGUAACUAUUCUGGUGGAGAUGGGCUCCAGCCACAGCUGCAGGGGGUUGAGGAUGAGGUUCUGGGCACCUCACUGCAAAAAAGGUAUUUGAGGCCCUGGAGUGCAUCAGGACCCCCGAGUCCUUCUCUGUAGCACUGCUCUCAGUGAGUUCCCCCCAGUCUGUACCUGUAUCUGGGAUCGCCCUGACCCAAGUGCAACACGCUGCACUUGGCCUUGUUGAAUCUCAUUAGAUUCUCAUGUGCCCACUUCUUGAGCGUGUCCAGGUCCCUCUGGAUGGCAUUCCUGCCUUUUACUGUAUCAACUGCACCACUCAGCUUAGUGUCAGCAAACUUGCUGAGGGUACACACAAUCCCACUGUCAGUGCCGUUGCUAAAGAUGCUGAAGAGCACUGGUCCCAAGAUGGGCCCCUGGGGGAAUGCUGCUUGUGACCUUGGACCUCCACCUGGACAUAGAGCUGUUGACUAUAACCCUCUUAGUAUGACCGUCCAACCAACUCUUUAUUCAUUCCUUCAGCCUUGCCUUACAGCCAGCAAAAUUCCCUUUGCCCUGACCCAGUGCUUGUUUGUUUUUGGUUGUUCUCCAAACACGCCUUGCUCCCAGAUGCCUCUAUUUGUGGAUGCUUCCUAUCAAAAGCUAACAAUGAAGUUACAUAAAAAUAUAGUAUAAUUUAAAUAUAACCUCAGCAUUUAUUUGGGAGGGUAAGGGGGGGCUGCUGUGAUGGCAUGGGGACCUGAGCCCCUCCAUGGGACCUGCCUCCUCCCAGCCACUGCUGUCAGCUCUCUGUGCUGCUCUGGGCAGCUUGCACCGAGCGGAAGGACCAAAUUCUUCCUCAGCCUUUCAAUUAGCUUCUAAUCCCUUCGCUCCCGUAAAAUCUCAGCUGCUGGCUGCCCCUCUUUGUGUGUCUGCAGCAGCCACAAAAGCCGCCUCCCUGAGCAUCUGUCUGUGUGGCUGAGGCUGAAACCAAUCCCUGCGCCAAUGGCCACACCUCUCUGCACAGAACAUGUAAUUGCAAACUUUUUUUUCCCCUUCUUUCCCCUUUCCUCCCAUUUAACGUACAACAAGCAGACACCCAUCACCAUCGUCAGCUGUGCUCUGAUGCAAGGUUUUUCCACCUGGCCAAGUUGGGUGUUCAAAAGUUAUAAAUAAAUGCAAAAAGAAAAAAAAAAGGGGCAGGGGGAAAGGCUGUUGGUAGGGAUAUUUUUAAACACAUGACACAGAGGAGUGUGACACACUCGGUGUUCUCAGUGGGUGGGUUCAGUGUUACUGCAUGUUGUUCUUGUCGCUGGGCCCAGCAUUACAGGGAGGUGUGUUUGUAGCUGUGCCUGGUGACAGCGUGUGGCACUGCUGCCCGGUCCCAGCAAGGGGUGGGGGCUGUGUGAGCACCGUGAAGAUGCUGAGCAUCUGAAUACAAACGCUUUACUGCCUUGGUGUGCCCCACUUUGCUUGGGAGCAUUCAACCCAAGGUAGCUGGGAUUGGCAUUGCUGUUUGUUGAUGAGCACGGUGAGGUUGCUGAGCAUCUAUAUAUGCGUGCUUUCCUGUCUUGAGUUGUUUCAUGUGGGCACACUUACCCAAGUUAUCUGUGGCUCUGUAUGUCCGUCUGUCCAUGUCUGCUUGUCCAUCUGUGGGGCUGUUGGCUGGGUACCAGGAGGUGGCUCUGGGGAGUGUGGCUCUGGGGACCAUGUGCAGGAGCAAUGCUGAAGGUGGCAGAGGCUGAUGCUGGCCAACGUCUGCCCACGAGCUGUCGGUUUUAUAGCCCUAUAAAAGGCAGCUGACAGCAGAGGUUCCGAUUUCGGAGGCUCCAGCAGAGCUGGGAGGAGCCGUGUUGGUGCUGAGCCUUAGCGUGACGUCGGGAGGCAGAGCUGGGCUGGGAUUCCCAGUGUGCCAGGGGCAGGAGCUCGCUGCUUGCCUGCCUCUCCCUCUUGGGCACUACACGCAGUGCCAGCCCAGGCCCCAGGGCUCCGUGUGCUGCAGCACAGCAUGCGGAGCAAAUAGCGCAGCUCUGUGCUCUGCCUCACAGCUCUCCUCCCUCUGCGUGGCCUCUCUCUUUUGCUUUUGUUUGCUUUCUCUUCCCUGCGCGUUUCUUGCCACGUCCACUCGUGUUUCGUUUUGGUGGGGAUGCGCACACUUCUCUGGAGGUUGGCCAGGAGCUUUGGCUCAGGCUGUGCUCAUGCUCACUGCUUUCUCAUGGGCAGUGCCAGAGGGGGACAGGAGCAUCAGAAUCCCUUACUUGAAGCCUGGAGGUUUCCCACCAGGCUGGGGCAGAGCUGGGGAUGCACCAUCCUCUCCCAGCUGUGUGUGGAACUGUUACUCUCGUGCUCGUGGGAAAUGUGAGCAAUGGGCUCAGGGGUGUUUAAUCUUUGGCAGACUUAGCCUGAGUUAUGAGCUCAGAAACACAGAGAUACCCUCAUUUCUGGAGUAAGGCAAAGGCACACAGGAGAAGCUGUGGACCCAGGCAGAGGAGAACAAACCCUUUGAAGGUGUUGAGCUCCUUGGAAACAUUCACCUUGGAUAGGUGCUCCCAAAGCUGGGAAUUACAGGAAACUUGUCAUGUGGCCUAUCUCCACGUAGAAGAAGGGGGAUCUUAUUGUAGAGCUCAGCACAUGGGAUGUGGCUCCAUCACCCGAUCCCUGCACGUAGCCCAGCUGGGUGCUGUGCGCUGCAAAUGGGCAUGAGAGCAAAAGGCAGAGCCUGGUGCAGGCCCUUCUGCUCAGAACUCCUUGUGGAGCUCCUGCGCCUGGGUCCCCCACCACGACCAAGGGAUCCUGGCUCUUUUUUUAUGGAGACUCCCCACCGAGGUAGACGCUAGUUAAAAGGUUACUGCCCAGCUGUGAAAUAUGUAGACAGGGUAACAGCUAAAUGGCGGGGUGACCUCAUAUCUCAUAUUUAUUGACUAAAUGUGGCUUGAACUAGUCACCACCAGUAAAAUAAACCACAGCCCCGAGUGCUGCAGGAAUAUUCCACGCCAGACAGACUCCUGACUCCUUGUCACACUCUUCCUUUCACUUGAGUUUAGGGAAAAAAAAAAGUUGUGUUUUUUUUUAAUCUUUGUUCAUUUACAACAUAGGACCUGCAGAAACCCUUUCAGUGCAAGCUGACACUUUUCCAAUGAGAAGAGCUGGGGAUCUCUCUGGUUUCCCACUGGAAGAGAGGGAGAGAACCAAGGUUUUUGCUUUUGCCAGCACCCACCUCAGCAUGGAUGUGCGAGGGCUGAUGUGUGAGGCUGUAGUAAGGAGUGCUGGGGACUGGCUGGGUUUUGUGAUCUCUACAUCACACUGCUGUCACAGGGAUGAGAAACUGGUCUGAAAAAUCAGAAGACAGUUCUCAGGUUUUGUCUGCACAGAGACAUUGUGGUAUAAAGGCAAAACGAGAGGAGAACUGAACUCAUUCGGCACUGGUUACGUCUUCCUGAGCAUCUCUGCUUGGGUUCUCCAAUUCUGGUGAACCAUUUCUCAUCGCCUCAGAACAAAAAUCCUGCAGAGUGUCUGCACUGUGCUCAUUAGCUCAUGGUCAUCUGUGGUGCCCCGAGGGGACGGCAGUGCCAUGAUCACAGUGCUCUCAGCUGGAAAAGCCAGAGCGCAUUGCAGGUGUUGCUAUAACGUCCUGUCUGGGAUUAUGGUGCAGGUCAAAAGUUCUGCUGCAGUGUUUCCCUUUGGAUAUUUACAUGUGCAUGGAGGGAUGCUGAGUAUUGGAAAAAAGACAGGCUUGGCACCAGGGUGGGAUGCAGAUGUUAAAUCACCGGCCCACGUCAGCUCAGGCUGCGUGGUAUUCUCAGCUGAGCCAUGGAGUGCUGCAGAUGCGUGGGAUGGCUGUGGGGUAGGGAUUGGUUGCAGGUUCCUAGGGAUGUGCUGAUACAGGGAUGGGGCAAAAGCCCUUCUGGUCAUGGCACUGGGACCUUGUGCUGUGUGCUGAUUGCUCUUGUUGUUAGUUUUCCAAUAUGCAGGUGGCUAAUGAGAGUCAGAAGGGAGAGGACAUUCAUUCUUCUCUAGAAAAUUGGGUCACUGAGACUUAUUUUUUUGGUGGAUGGAAUGUGGGUUUUCUACUAUUGAAUAGCAUUUUGAAAGGGAAAUAUGUGUUAUAAAGCCAUUAUAAAUGUCCUGACAAACAUAGCACUACUGCAUUUAGGGAAGCACUGUUGCAAAUGGUGGAGCUUGUCAAUUGCUAUUUUUAAUCAGAAAAAAAUGCCUCUAUUGGUCGCUUGCUCCUAUUAUUAUUUGAUUUUUAUGUAUUUUUUUAAUUCCCUCCGUCCUUGUGGAGGAGGCUGGUGUGAUCUAUCAGUGGCACUUACUCUGCCUGUGAUGCACAGAGGUUGAAGGCGUUGCUGGGAUGUGUUUGUGCUGUUCAGUUUCAUCCAUGCCUCUUGCAGCCUUGAUUCUUCAGUGCCGUAACACAACACCUUAGGGCUGGGGCAGCCGAACGUCCCCUGGCUUGGGCUGAGGCCAUCGUGCUUCAUGGUUUCCACCUGAGGCCAUAAAUCAUGCUGGAGCUGGAUUAAAACUUCGGUUAGAUCCACUGGCAGUUUUGCUAUUUUCACUGAACCUUGCGAUGAUUUGGACGUGAGCUGAAGAUUUAUGUGUAUUUGCUGAGCCCACGGUUCCAGGUCAGAGCUUGGACUGAGGCACUACCAGGGAAUCACUGCUUCCCUGAACGUCUUUGGUGGCCUCUCUGAAGCGAGACGUUGCUAGGAAAACGCAUCCAGAGCUCAUCUCCCCGCUGAGUCUCCUCUGAGAAGUGCGAGACUCGAUAAAAGGAGCCUGAAAAUGCUGAUACAAACAUUGCUCGGGGAAAUGUGCUCUGCUCUCAUUCUUAACAAAGGCAACAUUGGAGCCCGUUUGUAAUAACGCCAGGAGGAAUGUAUGGGCAUGAGCAGAAAGUUAAAAGUGGAACGGAACAUAGGUUUUAUUUUCCCUUUUCUUUUCUUGUCUUGGAGUGUGCAGUCAGGAGUGCUGGAUGGCUGUGGUGGCAUGGGAAGCCCAACUCCCCGUCCCUGACACCAGAGGCCAACACCACAACCAAUGGGUUGACAUGAUACCAGUGCUUGCAUCGUGGUGAUGUCCCUCAGAAUGUUCUUUCCCAGGGCAACCUCAAUCUUGGGAAAGGUUUCUUGGGUAACGUGGUCCGUCUGUUCCUUCUGGGCUUUGCUGUAUGAGCCCUCAAUGCAAAAUGCAUCACCCUUCAACUGUCCAUCAACCAUCAAACUGUCCAUUUUCCAUCAGGUUCCUUUCUGUAUUUACCCAGAUGUUGCUGUCAGAGCUCAGACCAUGGGUGAGGUCAUGUUUAGUCCAUGGGCAAGAAGACCAGGGCUGCACCCCUGGGGUGCUAUGAUCACAGACACUGCAUCUCCCAUGCAGUGCCCCAUGGCUCGCAGGUACCAACCUGCAUACACACACUCCAGCACCAACUGAUCCCCAGAGCUGCUCUGGAGGAAUCAGAACUAUAACAAUAUGGCAGUAAAAAUUAAUGAAAAGCCAUCAUUUAAAAAAGAAAAAAAAAAAAGAAAACCAUGGAAAAGCAGUUAUUUAUUUAUACCUAGGGAACUAGGAAUAAUACACCUGCUUCGUAGGGAUGGCUGGCAUAAAGCUGGCAUUGCAUAGUGGUACUUAAUAAUUUUUUUACCACACUUUAUAGGCUCUUUCCUGCAAUUAAUGCUAAAUAAAAUCAACAUUUCUCCAACUUGCAUUUCUGGAUCUCAUUAACUCCCUUCAGGCCAUUCACCAUCUCUUUCACUCUAGAUAUCUUUAAUUCCUUUGUGUUUUUCUUCCAAAUGUUUCUUCACUCUUCACUUCUUUAUAGUGUCUGUAUUCUUACCUGUUCACCUCAUUUUCACUCCCAUCACUGACACUCCUGAGCAUCCCACCUGUGAGCAGGGAUCCAGGAACACCAGACAGGACUGGGCACCCCUGGAUGCAGCACCCCAGGUUGGGCUGGAUGCGAUGGAGAGGUGGGAAGACCGUGCAGCACUUUGGGAUAAGGCUGCUCUGAGCUUUUGCAGGGGCUGUUCUAUUACAUCCAGCAGCUAUGUGAAGGGCUGAGUGCACUGCCACAGUAUGUCUGGCAGCAUUGUCCUGCCCAGGACCUGCUUCCUUGCUGUGAGCCUGCUCAUUGCCUCCACACAUCCAUAUCAGAGGUGGCAGCAGUUAGUUAUUAUAUGUCUCUGGAAUCUGACUAAUCUCAACUUCAACAUAGUAUUAUUAAUUUAAUAUUCCCUUGCAUCUAACAUUUUCUUGCCUCCCACAUAGCCUGAUUAAAGGGUUAGAGAUUUGCCUCAAAUAAUAUUAUCUUAUUGGUUUUCAACUCUGUGCUUUAACAGGAAGAUCUGGAAAGGCUGAAAAACGUGGAGAGGAAAAAUGCAGCAAGCUCUUAUCAGAAAACAGGAACCUGUGAUGGUCAGCCCUUCACUGGAGAUGGAUCCCUCAGCACUGGUUUUGGGAAGCAGGACUUGGUGUGCUGUCAGCCCGGCGGAUGAGCAGUGGGUCAUGGCUGAGCAAGAGACAAAGGAAUGGCUGAGACAAAGAUCUGAGCUGGUGACGCAGCAAUGGAAUGAGUUCUAAAUUUUGCAACAAAAAACCAUAUUCCUCUCCUCACUCGCUAAGAAGUCAUCUGACUUGGAAGGAUAUUUCCUAGAGAGCAUGAGAACGUAGCAGAUCAACUCUGCAGAAAGGAAUGGCCUUCUUCCUUCAGUAAGUGGCAAAAAGGAAACGAUUGUUCCUGUUUAACACAGCUCCAAAUCUGCAGCUUAUAAUAUUCCUGUUGAUCUCAGGCUUGUGGUUAUUUAUUUAGCUUAGCAUAUUCAAAUCUGAUUUGUUUGUUUCCCUUUCACUCUCAUGCUUCACUCCUUUACUCUCUCAUUGAGGUCAGCUUUGCAAAACUGUUCUUGUGCCAUCUUCCACCUGGAAUGGUUGGAAAGGUGAUCAGCACUGGUAAUUUUCCACUUUAUGGCAGGCUUUAUAAUAAAUAAUUAAGAAAAAUAAUAAAUAGCAGCAGUAUUAGCUCACUGGCACACAUGAAGUAGCUGUAGUUUAAAGUUUGGUGGUUUUUUUUUCUUUUGAUGAUGCAUCCUUAAGACUGUGUCUGUGUUAUGCUUUUGCUGUAAUUAAAUUAUUGCUUAUAAGAACUUUUGCUUGGUCAAAAAGAGAAAAAAAAACCCACACAAUUAUAAUAAUUCCAUUUCAGUGUUUUCCAUAAGAUCCUGGCCAAGUUGGCCAAUAACUAAGGCAAGGAACUGGGGGAAAAAAAAGGUAUGUAUUGUAUACUCACUUAAAACUUGGCUAGAAAUGACCUUUUAUUGUCUAAUUUUUUUUUUCCAUGCCCAACUUGGCUACUGGAGACAAACUCAUUGCCAAGUUUCUACAGCAUGUUAUUUUCCUAUGUAUGAUGUGUUCAAAAACCCUUUCAAAAGCUUACCUCCAUGCGUCCUACAAGGGUUUUGCAUGGAUGAGGACAGAGGGUUUGGUGAUGUGGACUCUGGUGUUUCAAAGCUAGAUCUGUUUUGCCUGUGUUUUUCCCCCCUUCUGUCCCUUGUGUGGCCCAACAUGGAAUGCUCUACAAAAGGGCUGAGCCAGGAAGUGAGGUGAAGGCAGUGCUGUGCUGGUAAUGUAAACCUUGCUUUGGAGAGGCCCCAGGCAUCAUGUGGGCAUGGUGACAUUGGUUAGGGGCAUGCAGUCCCCACCUGGGUGAUGGCAAUGUGCCCUGUGCUGGGUCUGAGCACUCCAAUGGCUUUAAAGGCAAAAUAUAAGUGAGUGAUGCUGAGUUAAAGCUUCAAGUGGCCUCUUGACGAGCAAAAACCAAAGCCCCCAAACCAGCUCUGGUCAUUUUGUCUCAUCUGUAAUGACCUGUAUGUGACAUAAGUAACACUUUAGUUGUGAUAAAAAUAAGAACUAUUUUUUUUAUGUACAUAUUUGAUUUCAUUUCUGAUCUUUAUGAAGUUCCAUGAUGGUUGUGGGUUUUUUUUUUUGGUGGUGUAGCCCAUGUGUCUGAAUUACUAAAGCCAGAAAGACAGCUGCUUGGAAGCAGUAAUGAAGGUGAGACUUCUGUAGCUUUAAUUUCUCCUAUGUAUUUUUGUCUUCUAUAAGCCAUACAAAGGUAAGAACUUGCAGAGCUCAUGAUCAUGCAACUGCUUCUGGACACAUUUAAUUUUACUAUCCCCUGGCACAAACUGAAAACUUCUAUAGUACAGAGAUGUGAUCUCUGGCUUUUGAACAUACAUGAGAAAAUCAGUUAUGGAAGCAGAAAUAAAAGUGCAGUUUUGAAACGUGGUACAGGUUUCUCUCUGCUUUUUUGUGACAAGUCCUCCUCCAGGCCCACCUGAAAUGACUUGGGAGAAAAGCCUCCAUAACUGAGAGAAGAACCCAGACCAAUGAAACGUGAAAGAUGGUGACUAUGUUCAGAAUGGGUCCCUUUCCAUUUUCAGAUUAUUCUGUUUCCAUAUACUUGUUCUCAUGCUGUACAUGGACUGACUCUUCAUUUACAUGCUGGUAUGGGGUUGCAUAUUUAACUCUGUGCUCAGCUGGGAUUCAUUUGGUAUCUUAAAUGUAGGUCAAAAAAGAGACAACUUGAAAGAAAGGAGAGGGAGAAGAAAGGUCAUAUGUAGUGUGCUGUACACAGAUGGCUCCUUAGUGUUAGGACAUGUGGCAGAAUCCAAGCUCAGCUGACAGUUUGUUUGCACGAUGCAAAGCUCUUUCAAGGACUGCUGAGCCUCUGAAAGUAUCUGAGUGCAUUCUGCAGGAUGUUCACACUCUGACCUUGCAGAAGCCUUCAACCAACUGGAAUUUCUCAUCCACUUUUGCAAACUAGAAGGCUUAGUGCAAUGCUGUGAUGGGAUGGGGAUACAACCAAACAUUCUGCUGCUUGCCAGGUGUCUAAAAUCAGACUCCCCAGCUUGCCAAGGGGCAUUUUGUAGGUCCCGCCUCACCUGGCAUCUCAGCAGGGGCCAUGAAACUGAACAGAGGAUCCCUGUAGAUCAGCCUGUGCCUUUCUCCUGCUGAAAGACUGUGCAGAAAGCAAGGAUGAAGCAACUGCAAGAUUUAUGUUGGAACCAGAUCCCCAUGGAUCGGAACGUGAAUAACACCUCCAUCCCCUCCCAAACCUUCCAGACCUGACCUUUCACAAUCACCAUUUCCUGACCAGUGACUCCAAAGAAAAUAGAGCUGCUAGUUGGUAUUUAAUGGAAAUCUGCACAAAACUUGUCAAAAUACACCACCGUGCCUGUCAGAUGCCUGGGACAAGACCUCUACAGUAGUUUCCAGAAACCCAGGGCAAUUACUUACAUUUUAAAUUAUCUUUAAUUGUCACAUGUGAGUUACAGAAACAUUUCUCCCCACUCUGAGGCAAGACCUCGCUAUUAAGAGUCACCCCCUAAUUGCAGCUCUAAUGGGGAGCCAGGGCAGGUCAGCAUCAGGGUUAGCACAGGGCGAGGCAGGAGCACAGGGAAGUGGAGGUGAUGUAGCACAACAGUUGAGGAGGGGCAGCAUGGAGUGCCAGCUUCGUAGCAAACUAAAUUUGCUAACAACCCCACCAGAUGUUCUAAUCCAAUUUUCCUGCCCAUCCCCUGCCAGCAAAAGUGACAUUUUUUGCUUGUGUUUCUGACUGUGGACUCACAGCAUGGCUUGGGUUGGGGAAGGGACCUUAAGGAUCAUCCAAUUGCCAUGGAGUUUGUCUAGAACAAACUCAGUGAGUUGCUUCUUGGGCUUUUCUUUUCAGUUGCAGGAACUGAGCAUCCUUUUGUCAUCCAAGUGAUUACUCAGGUCUGAGCAUGGCACACACACUCGGUAUGUGUGGGAUUGAACUGAAUCAGACUGAACUCAUGGAUUGACACGGAUGUCACAGAGGGUGCAAGACUGAUGAAAAAUAGAUGAGGUGGUGGUGCAAAUCUGCUCAAGAGCUGAAUGACAACUGUUAGCCUGGCAAUGCUGAAUUCAAGCAGUCCCUGUCAAUAGUGUGAGAGAUGCUGCACCAGAUUUUCUGGGGCUGUCUGCAAAUUGACCUAAUGUUCCUGUUGACACAAAACCUUGGAAGAGCAGCUAAGAGCAGCAUUGCUGAACAUGCCUGAUUUGCUCACAGACUGUGGUCAGAUGUGAGCAGGAAAGCAAAUACUUGCUUAUGCAUCGAGGAGAGGGGAAAAUAGUGAAUUAACUAUGGACACAGAUGCAUGACAUUACCUUCCAGAAGCAGAUGUGCAGCACAGGGAAUGAACCAACACGGGGAGGAGUUUCCUCAGUCAGUGAAUUGGUUUUUGGUUCACGAGAACUCUGGCCGUGCACAUGCAACAUGUUGACUGCAUGGAAAAAUCUCCUUCUCUCUUCUUUCUUUCACACGAAAAAGAGAACCCACAAAUCAGAGGAGUCUCAAACUGUUCUUUGUUAAAGCACCACUUGAACAAUUUGCUUAAUUUUCACCACUUACUGCAUUAACUGCUGCUUUUCUUCCCCUCAGCCCCAUCCUGCUCCCCAGGCAGAGAGCAUUCGGAUUUGUCCCAAGCACAGCUCCAGCCACACACCUGCGGGAUGGAAACAGGCAGAGCAAACAAUGAAGCAAGGCUGUUUAUAAAGCCUUCAACACAUCAGGCAGGGAGAAGAGCCCAAGUUUCCAUGUCAAGGCCAAAAUGGACCAGAAUGACGCGAAACACAUGGAAAAUAUGGAAAAUGUGGAAUAAGUAAUAAAAUUAUAAAUAAAACAAAUACAAUAAAUUGGGAA